GCCAGCAGCCAUAUCACUCUGCAGUUCACAACUGACAGCCCACUGAAGCUAAGCAUGUAUGAGCCUGGUCAGUACCUGGAUGGGAGACCUCCUGGGAAAGCUGAGGCUGCUGCUGGAA
rnacentral:rRNA from 1 species